CAGGAGGUUGUGUGAGGGACAGAAAGGGCAAGGUGCCAUAUGAAGGACAGACAGGGUUAGGUGGCUGGGACAGGAAGGAGUGAGCUGGAAAUGCAGAAGGAAGAGAGAAAGAGCCAGAGCUGUGUGGAGUUGCCCAUGGUAGGCUACCUAGAAAAGAGUGGGACUUCAGGAUUCUCUCAAUUAAUACAAAAAACCCCAUCACAGUUAGGAUGAACAUCUGGAUUUUCUCCUGUUGUUCUCAGGACAGAGAACAGAGAUCCACUGCCUUGAAGCUUUAUGGGAAAAGAAAGGAGAAAGACUGAACCAAAAGAAGUGCAAUCUGCCCUAUACUGAGGAAUUGUACCAAAUCAAGCAGCUCCCUCACAGGACUGCCACUGUCUUGUCCAGAUUUUAUCCAGCAGUUUUGUCAGUGCUGUGUCUUCACAUUCUUAAUUGUGGUGGUAUUUCUGUUUAAGUAGCCUUUGUGGAUAGCUAGAAAGCAAAGGGAACCAUGUUUUCCAUGUUUUUUGCACCAGAAGACAACUUUCUGUGAUCAGAGAAAUGGACUGGCAGGAACUGUUCACUCAAAUAAUCACCUCCAUGAGACAUAAGUGUAUGUAUGGAAAGAGCUGGGAGAGAGAGAGGUUCUUUUAAGGCCCUGAUGAAUCAGCCAUGGUUAUGAGGAAAUAGUUAUUCAGAGUGCUGUCAGAGUGAAGCAUAAUGUUCUUCAGC